GUAAGCAACCCCGGUCUGAAGACACGGGGCUUCAGCAAAUAAACUGAAGCCGUGCUUACCCGCCUAAGUCUUAAUUGACUACGUUAUUGGGGUCAUAACACCGAAGAAUGCGACGCUAGUUUUCCGCUCUGUUGUUUGCAGUUAAAUAGUCUUAAGGUCACUGAGACAGUGCUGCCAGCGUAAAAAGCCCUGAUAACAUUGGCAAAGCGAACUUUAC
rfam:[Oscillatoria] sp. PCC 6506, WGS project CACA01000000 data, contig: Contig354